GACGAACGCUGGCGGCGUGCUUAACACAUGCAAGUCGAACGGAAAGGCCCUGCUUUUGUGGGGUGCUCGAGUGGCGAACGGGUGAGUAACACGUGAGUAACCUGCCCUUGACUUUGGGAUAACUCCAGGAAACUGGGGCUAAUACCGGAUAGGAGCUCCUGCUGCAUGGUGGGGGUUGGAAAGUUUCGGCGGUUGGGGAUGGACUCGCGGCUUAUCAGCUUGUUGGUGGGGUAGUGGCUUACCAAGGCUUUGACGGGUAGCCGGCCUGAGAGGGUGACCGGCCACAUUGGGACUGAGAUACGGCCCAGACUCCUACGGGAGGCAGCAGUGGGGAAUAUUGCACAAUGGGCGGAAGCCUGAUGCAGCAACGCCGCGUGCGGGAUGACGGCCGUCGGGUUGUAAACCGCUUUCGCCUGUGACGAAGCGUGAGUGACGGUAAUGGGUAAAGAAGCACCGGCUAACUACGUG
rnacentral:rRNA from 1 species